AGAGUUUGAUCCUGGGCUCAGGAUGAACGCUAGCGGCAGGCCUAAUACAUGCAAGUCGAACGCUCAGUAGCAAUACUGGGAGUGGCGCACGGGUGCGUAACGCGUACACAAUCUACCUCUAAGCGGGGGACACCUCCUGGAAACGGGGAUUAAUACCGCAUAAUAUGCCGAGGUCGCAUGACUUUGGUAUUAAAGCAGCAAUGCACUUAGAGAUGAGUGUGCGUCCCAUUAGGUAGUUGGUGAGGUAACGGCUCACCAAGCCUAUGAUGGGUAGCCGGUCUGAGAGGAUGGUCGGCCACACGGGCACUGAGACACGGGCCCGACUCCUACGGGAGGCAGCAGUAAGGAAUAUUGGUCAAUGGUGGAAACACUGAACCAGCCAUGCCGCGUGGAGGAAUAAGGUCCUACGGAUUGUAAACUCCUUUUGACGAGGAAGAAAGUGUUAGAUUUAUCUAAUUUUGACGGUACUCGUAGAAUAAGCACCGGCUAACUCCGUG
rnacentral:rRNA from 1 species